AAGACCGUGCUUCAGAGGAUCAUUUCUGUAGGCCAAUGUUCAAUUCUACGUUUACAAAGAGAAACAGACGAGUUGCAUCAUCCACGAUGAUGAGCUGCAGUCUUCAUUUCCCUCGAGCAAUGAUUUCGCUUUUGUCUCCAACAACGCAUCGUUUGCUGCCUUUAAGGAUCGUUUCCGAUUACAAAGGAUGGACACAUUCCGAGUGGU
rnacentral:snoRNA from 1 species